CAAUAUCUAGCGUCCUCUCAUUUUCUGGUGGAAAUUCUUGUAAAUGGCAGUGAUCAGAAAUAGAUUUCUUUUACAACUUUUCGCAGGAAGCAGGGUUUUACGCCAUGGCGUAAUUUUAGGGACAAUCUCCAUUUUCAAUUGUGAAAAGAAGAAAGAAGUACAACAAAUCCAGAAUAGAAGCAUUACAGUUAAUAGCACCCUAAAUGUAAAACUGUUUUAGCUCUUCUAUUCACAAGCCAAUUUUGUGUCAAAGCUGCUUAAGCAGAUGGCAAAUGCCUGAAAUGCAGAUAGGGGAUAUCGGUAGUCCAUGGUAAACAUAUCUUUGCCUACUUUCCCAAAUUGCAAGAUGAUUUUGUCAUGAUCUGAUUGACUUGUUGGCUGAGAUGUUGUUGGUGCAGCGGCAGGUUGUUGAGUGGCAGCAAUCAACUGGAAGUUCUUGACAGAUGCAACUGUCACUCGUCCUCGAAAAUUCAGACACCAGCACUGCAGUUGUUCAUGCCAUCGUGGCGCCUUGUUCUUUAGGACCAGUGGUUUCCCCUUGUUAUCAUCCUCCUCAUUAGUUGAUCCUCCAGCAAUAUCAGAAAAUCGUGCACUACCGAACUCAGUGGAAUGAUCAAGAGACUUUGAGAAAGAGAUGCUGCGGAACGAAUCCUCAAGGGGCCUUGAGAGAAGCUCUGGUUGGCCAGGUACAGAGCCACCGGCUUCAAGGGCUGAGUCAGGAAUUGAGUGCAUGACGCAGUGCAUUCUCCGUGGACCCCGUGUUCCAAGCACAUUCAGCUCGUAUGUGAUCUGGGAUAUGAUAUAGCUUCCAGUUGGGACUUUAGGAGAGACUUUCUUGGAAGUGAAUCUACGGCUUGUUCGCCCCGGGGGAGGUACAUGUGCACCGGUGUGAGGAGGCUGUGUGUCAUAUAUAAUGAAUUUUGUACCUAGAAAAUUUGAUCUUAAUUUUCCAAUAUAGGUGUUGCUUGAUCUAGAGAUGUUUUCUGCAUCCAUUGAGAUAACAUACUCUGUGCAAGUAGUACGUCUCGUUCUUUUUGCAGAGAGAAGGAACUUCCCAUUCUCAACCAACAAUGCAGGACUAAGACACAAGAAAAGAUGGUAAGUCAAAUUAGAUUUAUCCCGCUUGAUGAAGCACUGAAUAGUUCCAUCACGAGGCCCAGGCUGCUUUAGGGAAACAGGAAAAGUUAGCUUUCCACAAAAUUCCGGAUUUCUAACGAUGUCUUUGCACAUACUCCUCCAUGACCUACAGACUGCGGCACAUGCUACGACAUGCUUACGACCGGGCCAUGUGCUCUCACUCUCCUCUAACCUUCUAACUACAUCAAAAAGUAGCUCUGGAGGAAGAUUGGCCCAACAACUAUCUUGGAUAACGGGAGGCUGGUCACUUAAGUCAUAAAAUGAACCAUGUGAUUUGUCCCUAGGAUGACCAGACAGCCUUAAAUCAAAGCUUCGCCUUGAUAAGCUACCAAUACUAUCUCUUACAUCACGAACUAUACUGCGGAACG
rnacentral:misc_RNA from 1 species